CGGAGGGUGCGAGCGUUGUCCGGAAUCACUGGGCGUAAAGGGCGCGUAGGUGGCUUCUCAAGCGCGCGGUGAAAGCCCGGGGCUCAACCCCGGGUCGGCCGUGCGGACUGGGAGGCUCGAGCACUGUAGGGGCGGGUGGAAUUCCGGGUGUAGCGGUGGAAUGCGUAGAGAUCCGGAAGAACACCGGUGGCGAAGGCGGCCCGCUGGGCAGGAAGGCUCGCAAGAGCCGGCUGACACUGAGGCGCGACAGCGUGGGGAGCAAACAGGAUUAGAUACCCUGGUAGUCCACGCCGUAAACGAUGGGCACUAGGUGCUUGGGGGAGCGACCCCCCGGGUGCCGGCGCUAACGCAUUAAGUGCCCGCCUGGGGAGUACGGCCGCAAGGCUG
rnacentral:rRNA from 1 species